rnacentral:rRNA from 1 species
UACGAAGGGGGCUAGCGUUGUUCGGAAUCACUGGGCGUAAAGCGCACGUAGGCGGAUUUUUAAGUCAGGGGUGAAAUCCCGGGGCUCAACCUCGGAACUGCUUUUGAUACUGGAGAUCUUGAGUCCGGAAGAGGUAAGUGGAACUGCGAGUGUAGAGGUGAAAUUCGUAGAUAUUCGCAAGAACACCAGUGGCGAAGGCGGCUUACUGGUCCGGAACUGACGCUGAGGUGCGAAAGCGUGGGGAGCAAACAGG